rnacentral:rRNA from 1 species
CCCGAGACUCAGUGAAAUUGAACUCGCUGUGAAGAUGCAGUGUACCCGCGGCAAGACGGAAAGACCCCGUGAACCUUUACUAUAGCUUGACACUGAACAUUGAGCCUUGAUGUGUAGGAUAGGUGGGAGGCUUGGAAGUGUGGACGCCAGUCUGCAUGGAGCCGACCUUGAAAUACCACCCUUUAAUGUUUGAUGUUCUAACGUUGACCCGUAAUCCGGGUUGCGGACAGUGUCUGGUGGGUAGUUUGACUGGGGCGGUCUCCUCCUAAAGAGUAACGGAGGAGCACGAAGGUUGGCUAAUCCUGGUCGGACAUCAGGAGGUUAGUGCAAUGGCAUAAGCCAGCUUGACUGCGAGCGUGACGGCGCGAGCAGGUGCGAAAGCAGGUCAUAGUGAUCCGGUGGUUCUGAAUGGAAGGGCCAUCGCUCAACGGAUAAAAGGUACUCCGGGGAUAACAGGCUGAUACCGCCCAAGAGUUCAUAUCGACGGCGGUGUUUGGCACCUCGAUGUCGGCUCAUCACAUCCUGGGGCUGAAGUAGGUCCCAAGGGUAUGGCUGUUCGCCAUUUAAAGUGGUACGCGAGCUGGGUUUAGAACGUCGUGAGACAGUUCGGUCCCUAUCUGCCGUGGGCGCUGGAGAACUGAGGGGGGCUGCUCCUAGUACGAGAGGACCGGAGUGGACGCAUCACUGGUGUUCGGGUUGUCAUGCCAAUGGCACUGCCCGGUAGCUAAAUGCGGAAGAGAUAAGUGCUGAAAGCAUCUAAGCACGAAACUUGCC